rnacentral:RNase_P_RNA from 1 species
UGCGGCUCAGGUAAGGGUGAAACGGUGGGGUAAGAGCCCACCGCGGUGGUGGUGACAUCACCGGCACGGUAAGCGUCGCCCGGUGCAAGGCCAAAUAGGAAGACAUGUGCUGCGCUCUUCACGGGGUGCUGUACACCGACUGGCCCGGUCGAGGUCUUCGGGUAGGUCGCUUGAGGUUCGAGGUAACUCGAAUCCCAGAGAAAUGAUCAUCCACGCAAAGAGGGAAACUUCUUUGCAGGACAGAAUCCGGCUUAUAGGUCUUCCGCUCAC